GAAAAUUCAGAAAAUUGAUGGGAUAAACAUAGUUGUUUGAAGAAAUAUGUCUAAUGAGAAUCUUGACCUCUUUUGUUGUCAACAUUGUUCUUGAUUUGUCGUUUUUUUCAUUUUUCUAGGGUAAAGUGCCAAGAUCUGGUAGUUUUGAAUGGUGAAAAGUAAUUGUUGAUUAUUUUUAUGAAAUUAGAAGAAGACUUCCUAUUCUUCCCCAUCUUCAAUCUUUCACAACAAUCGUCUCUUUCUAAUCCCUUAAACUUGUCUUUUUCAACUGGUUUUGAUAACCCAAGAAAAUCUCAGGCGAAUUUUGGGUGGAUUUCGACGUGUUUCACGGCAGAGGUUGGUGUGAAAUUGUAUUUGUAAGCAAUUUGGGGUGUGAAAAUAGUAGUCGGUGUUGGAUUACGAAAAGUUUGGCCAGAUCUGGUUGUGCGGUGGCCAGAUUUGGUUGUGGGGUGGCUUAGCUUGUUGCUACUGUGGAGGUUGAAGGAGGAAAGAAAAAUAGUGAUGGUGUGUGGCGGAGAUGAAGACGGGUGAGGGAGAAAGUAUAUGUGAUUUCGCCGGCAAAAAUGGCGACGACGCCGGCGAUGACUUUCUUUUGGUCGUGAAAUAGUGAAAAUAGGGAGAAUUAGAAAUUCCAAUAAUAAAUUAAAAUGUUAUUAUUUUACAUUUUAUUAAAUAAUUUUGGUUAAUAAUUUUUUAAAAAAUAGUUAUGAAAUAAUUAUGAUGUGGC
rnacentral:lncRNA from 1 species